rnacentral:rRNA from 1 species
CCUACGGGAGGCAGCAGUGAGGAAUAUUGGUCAAUGGACGAGAGUCUGAACCAGCCAAGUAGCGUGAAGGAUGACUGCCCUAUGGGUUGUAAACUUCUUUUAUAUGGGAAUAAAACAGGGUAUGCAUACCCUCUUGUAUGUACCAUAUGAAUAAGGAUCGGCUAACUCCGUGCCAGCAGCCGCGGUAAUACGGAGGAUCCGAGCGUUAUCCGGAUUUAUUGGGUUUAAAGGGAGCGUAGGUGGAUUGUUAAGUCAGUUGUGAAAGUUUGCGGCUCAACCGUAAAAUUGCAGUUGAAACUGGCAGUCGUGAGUACAGUAGAGGUGGGCGGAAUUCGUGGUGUAGCGGUGAAAUGCUUAGAUAGCACGAAGAACUCCGAUUGCGAAGGCAGCUCACUGGACUGCAACUGACACUAAUGCUCGAAAGUGUGGGUAUCAAACAGGAUUAGAUACCCGGGUAGUC